UCCUACGGGAGGCAGCAGUGGGGAAUAUUGCGCAAUGGGGGGAACCCUGACGCAGCCAUGCCGCGUGAAUGAAGAAGGCCUUCGGGUUGUAAAGUUCUUUCGGUAAUGAGGAAGGGAUGUUGUUAAAUAGAUAGCAUCAUUGACGUUAAUUACAGAAGAAGCACCGGCUAACUCCGUGCCAGCAGCCGCGGUAAUACGGAGGGUGCGAGCGUUAAUCGGAAUAACUGGGCGUGAAGGGCACGCAGGCGGACUUUUAAGUGAGAUGUGAAAUCCCCGAGCUUAACUUGGGAACUGCAUUUCAGACUGGGAGUCUAGAGUACUUUAGGGAGGGGUAGAAUUCCACGUGUAGCGGUGAAAUGCGUAGAGAUGUGGAGGAAUACCGAAGGCGAAGGCAGCCCCUUGGGAAUGUACUGACGCUCAUGUGCGAAAGCGUGGGGAGCAAACAGGAUUAGAUACCCUGGUAGUCC
rnacentral:rRNA from 1 species